rnacentral:lncRNA from 1 species
GGCUGAGCCCAGGAUCCUCUCAUAAGUUACCAGGCCUGUGUUUAUAAAGUUAAACCAAAUUAAAAAUCCGACACAAAAUGGGGAUCCCAGGAUCCACUUUGAGGUGCAGUGGGAGGGAUUAAAUUAGCCAGCGAACAUUAAACCUCUCCAGACCCUCAACUGGGUCAUGCCUAUUUUGGUCCAGAGACUUACCUGUUUGCACCAUCUUCAAUUCCUUGCCUUCUUUCUGCCUUGAUUCCCCUUCCACCAGGGCUCUCAUCCUUCCCCUGUCUCCCAGGAAUAUUAUAAAAUCUCGUCGUUGAUGUUCCCAAUGACCUCCAUCUGGCCAAAUCCAAUGUGAUGAUAGUUGAGUUUUAAUUUCCUGUCUUCCUAUCAGGACCCAAGCUUCUGAUUAUAUUCACAGUGACAGCUAUACAGAGAAAAGCUUUUUCCAAUAAAGUGUCAUUGUUGGCAGCAGCUCUUAAUCUGGGGUCUAUGCUGGAGUUUCAUGAAAUUUCAUGGGAAAAUCAUACAUCUUUACUUUUGCCAGCCACUCAUUGAAAUUUAACAUUUCUUUCUAUUACAAACAUAGGCAACAAACAUAGGUGUGUUAGCAGUACCUGUGACUUUGUCACCAGUGGAAAUU